rnacentral:rRNA from 1 species
GACGAACGCUGGGCAGCGUGCUUAACACACGCAAGUCGAACGGAAUGGCCCCGCUUUUCGGGGAGGCCCGAGGGGCGAACGGGUGGGUAACACGUGAGUAACCCGCCCUUGACUUUCGGGACACUUUCAGGAAACCGGGGCUCAUCCCGGAUAGGAGCUCCCGCCGCACGGUGGGGGUUGGAAAGUUUUCGGCGGUUGGGGAACGGACUCGCGGCUUCUCAGCUUGUUGGUGGGGUAGUGGCUUCCCAAGGCUUUCGACGGGUAGCCGGCCUGAGAGGGUGACCGGCCACAUUGGGACUCGAGAUACGGCCCAGAACUCCUACGGGAGGCAGCAGUGGGGAAUAUUGCACAAUGGGGCGGAAGCCUGAUGCAGCAACGCCGCGUGCGGGAAGACGGCCUUCGGGUUGUAAACCGCUUUUCGCCUGUGACGAAGCGUGAGUGACGGUAAUGGGUAAAGAAGCACCGGCUAACUACGUGCCAGCAGCCGCGGUGAUACGUAGGGUACGAGCGUUGUCCGGAUUUAUUGGGCGUAAAGGGCUCGUAGGUGGUUGAUCGCGUCGGAAGUGUAAUCUUGGGGCUUAACCCUGAGCGUGCUUUCGAUACGGGUUGACUUGAGGAAGGUAGGGGAGAAUGGAAUUCCUGGUGGAGCGGUGGAAUGCGCAGAUAUCAGGAGGAACACCAGUGGCGAAGGCGGUUCUCUGGGCCUUUCCUGACGCUGAGGAGCGAAAGCGUGGGGAGCGAACAGGCUUAGAUACCCUGGUAGUCCACGCUGUAAACGGUGGGUACUAGGUGUGGGGUCCAUUCCACGGGUUCCGUGCCGUAGCUAACGCUUUAAGUACCCCGCCUGGGGAGUACGGCCGCAAGGCUAAAACUCAAAGGAAUUGACGGGGCCCCGCACAAGCGGCGGAGCAUGCGGAUUAAUUCGAUGCAACGCGUAGAACCUUACCUGGGUUUGACAUGGAUCGGGAGUGCUCAGAGAUGGGUGUGCCUCUUUUGGGGUCGGUUCACAGGUGGUGCAUGGCUGUCGUCAGCUCGUGUCGUGAGAUGUUGGGUUAAGUCCCGCAACGAGCGCAACCCUUGUUCACUGUUGCCAGCACGUUAUGGUGGGGACUCAGUGGAGACCGCCGGGGUCAACUCGGAGGAAAGGUGGGGAUGACGUCAAGUCAUCAUGCCCCUUAUGUCCAGGGCUUCACGCAUGCUACAAUGGCUGGUACAGAGAGUGGCGAGCCUGUGAGGGUGAGCGAAUCUCGGAAAGCCGGUCUCAGUUUCGGAUUGGGGUCUGCAACUCGACCUCAUGAAGUCGGAGUCGCUAGUAAUCGCAGAUCAGCAACGCUGCGGUGAAAUACGUUUCCCGGGGCU